CCCGAAAAGUCGAAUGGGGAGAUUCAACGUCCAGCGUAGACGGCUCCUUGCGUUUGGCGAUGUUUGAGGCCGUGCAUUUAUUUGUAUUGGUCAAUUUCACGCCUUCGCUCUGUGAUGUCCGUCAAACGUCGGUGUGCACUUCUCCCCUAGUAGAACGUCGCGACCCGCUGGGUGUCGGUUUAAGGACCACGAUGGCAGACUGUUUCGUCGCGUUUCGGCGUGACGUUGACAGACUCGUUGGUAUCCCGACCGGCUGCUCGGCGGUAUACGCAUAAAGGUAUCUGGCCGCAUUUGAAUGCGUUCAUUAAAGACUCGCCGCAAGCUCGAUCACUGUCAACUUGGAGUUACGGACCUGGUGCCGUACCCGGGGGUGUUAGGCUGUUGGCCGGCGAUGUUCUCGAACUGGCUAUUUGAUUACCUGUCAGCGACGCUAUUGCUUUGGGUACUUUCAGGA
rnacentral:rRNA from 1 species